rnacentral:rRNA from 1 species
UACAGAAGUCUCAAGCGUUGUUCGGAUUCAUUGGGCGUAAAGGGUGCGUAGGUGGCGCGAUAAGUCGGGUGUGAAAUCUCGGAGCUUAACUCCGAAAUUGCAUUCGAUACUGCCGUGCUCGAGGACUGGAGAGGAGACUGGAAUUCAUGGUGUAGCAGUGAAAUGCGUAGAGAUCAUGAGGAAGACCAGUGGCGAAGGCGGGUCUCUGGACCGGUUCUGACACUGAGGAGCGAAAGCGUGGGGAGCGAGCCGG